UCGACACAUCAGAUUAAUGAUACUCCGCGUAUUGAGCUUUACUUUUGACGCUGCUUCAUAUGGGCUUUGCCUUCUGCGACCCAGAAAACCUUUGCAUCCAACCCUAAUCACUCUUCACUUCUUCCCUUUCGCUUUCUCUGUACCUCUCAGACGGCGAUCGAUUGUGAUUCUGUAACGGCUGUGAUUACUGCGUACUUACUCCCAGCGUUUUGAUUCGUCGUCUGUGUGUAUAAAAAGUGAAGAGCAUAAAGUAUCAAUCUUCAGGAAGGUUGUCAAUGGAUUCCGACAUGGUGGAGAUCGCUCCUCCUGUGUUUGCUUGGGGUUCGACAACUCUAGAAAUCCAAAAAGAAGGGUUUUCCGGCGAUGAGUGUUCUCCCGCCAUAUCAAAGUUUGCCUGCCGUAAAGGUUGCCUUUUUCAUUUGCUCUCUGCACAUUUCUGUUGAAUCUAUUUGGUUAGUUGAGAUGCAGAAGCUUCAGAUUUGAUUUAUUUGUUGAUGCGUUGAGUCUGAUUGAGAUAACAACAUCGUCUUUACUUUUGCCUUUGCUAUGAAUUUGUGAGUGUGAGUGUGAGUGUGUGUGUUGAGGUGCCUUUGAUUUUAGUUUUGGCUUUAUGUGUCUUGGGUUGAAGAGGGCUGUGACACUUUGUCGGGGGGGGGGGGGGGGGGGGAGUAUUUGUGAAACACAAUUCUAAGUCAAUGGAUCUAGGCUUCCAUGAUCAGCCUGCUGCACAAGCAAUCACUUCACGGACUAUGGGUUGCAAUCUUUAAACGUCAACACUAAACACCUUACAAAGUCCAGAAUUGAAUUUUGAUCUUCUAUUCUGUUUUCUUCUUCAUGGAUGAUAACUAGCUUGGAAACUAACAACAGUUGCUGAUAUGCUCAUUUUAAUUUCCUCAGUGAUGGAAUCUCAGCAGGGAGGUCUGGAAACUGUUCCUCUUACGCCUUGAUCCAGUUCACAAUCUAUUUUGUCCACGGGCAGAGCUCUUAUCAUCGUUGAGGCAGGGCUCAGCAGCUGCUCCUAGAACGCUGAGGACUGUGUGGCUCAAGCUGCGAUUUUUUAUCUAUGGCGUCAACGCAACAACAUUCUUCACAAUCAGCAGUCAAUAACGGUGAUAAGUUUGUUUAGAGUCAACGAUCGAGAAGUGUGUGACAUCAUUUUGGGAAGAAGGCAUAUACGGCAAUUUCAUAACUUAUUAUCUGUUUGGAUAAGCUAAUCUCUUGAGAGCACUGCUCUGUUUUGUACUGGCUUCCUAUUUUCUCUUUAUUUUUGCCAUGGAGUUCAAUUAGAAUAUGUUCUUGCAUUUGUAGUUUCCGAUUUCAUUUUUCAAUGGUAUUAACAUAUUUUAGCAAAAUAAUAAUAAUAAUAAUCCCAGAUUUUACAACA